AAUGGAGGACAGUUUAUUCUCAUGAAGACAAAGGUAUCACUGUGUGUUCGCAGUUUUAUGAAAACUCCUGUGAACACAGCUGGUGGUAUCUCUAUCUCCAUGAUGACUUGCAACUUUAGGAGAA
rnacentral:precursor_RNA from 9 species